rnacentral:rRNA from 1 species
GAUGAACGCUGGCGGCGUGCUUAACACAUGCAAGUCGAACGGGAAAUCUUUCAUUGAGACUUCGGUGGAUUUGAUUUAUUUCUAGUGGCGGACGGGUGAGUAACGCGUGGGUAACCUGCCUUAUACAGGGGGAUAACAGUCAGAAAUGGCUGCUAAUACCGCAUAAGCGCACAGAGCUGCAUGGCUCAGUGUGAAAAACUCCGGUGGUAUAAGAUGGACCCGCGUUGGAUUAGCUAGUUGGUGGGGUAACGGCCCACCAAGGCGACGAUCCAUAGCCGGCCUGAGAGGGUGAACGGCCACAUUGGGACUGAGACACGGCCCAGACUCCUACGGGAGGCAGCAGUGGGGAAUAUUGCACAAUGGGGGAAACCCUGAUGCAGCGACGCCGCGUGAAGGAAGAAGUAUCUCGGUAUGUAAACUUCUAUAAGAAGGGAAGAUAGUGACGGUACCUGACGAAGAAGCCCCGGCUAACUACGUG